AAAUCAAAUGCACCUUCAUAUCAAUCAGAAAGAGAUGCUAGCUGUACAGAAUGCACUGACAGCCUUCAAGGACUACCAUCAUCCAGGACAAUUACUGAUCAAGACAGA